rnacentral:rRNA from 1 species
UCCGCCCGCUGGCGGCGUGCUUAACACAUGCAAGUCGAACGGAAAGGCCCUGCUUUUGUGGGGUGCUCGAGUGUCGAACGGGUGAGUAACACGUGAGUAACCUGCCCUUGACUUUGGGAUAACUUCAGGAAACUGGGGCUAAUACCGGAUAGGAGCUCCUGCUGCAUGGUGGGGGUUGGAAAGUUUCGGCGGUUGGGGAUGGACUCGCGGCUUAUCAGCUUGUUGGUGGGGUAGUGGCUUACCAAGGCUUUGACGGGUAGCCGGCCUGAGAGGGUGACCGGCCACAUUGGGAUGGAGAUACGGCCAAGCUUCCUAGGGGGGCAAGAAGUGGGGAAUUUUGACAAUUGGGGGGAGGCCGAAUCAAGCACCGCGGGGUGGGGGAUAACGGCUUCCGGGUGUUAACCCGUUUUCGCUUGUAACAAGGGGGGGGUACGGGUAAUGGGUAAGGAGCCACGGCCUAGGUAGGUG